GGGUUGUGAGGUUAAGCGACUAAGCGUACACGGUGGAUGCCCUGGCAGUCAGAGGCGAUGAAGGGCGUGCUAAUCUGCGAUAAGCGCCGGUAAGGUGAUAUGAACCGUUAUAACCGGCGAUACCCGAAUGGGGAAACCCAGUGUGACUCGUCACACUAUCAUUAACUGAAUCCAUAGGUUAAUGAGGCGAACCGGGGGAACUGAAACAUCUAAGUACCCCGAGGAAAAGAAAUCAACCGAGAUUCCCCCAGUAGCGGCGAGCGAACGGGGAGGAGCCCAGAGCCUGAAUCAGCAUGUGUGUUAGUGGAAGCGUCUGGAAAGGCGCGCGAUACAGGGUGACAGCCCCGUACACAAAAGCGCAUGUGCUGUGAGCUCGAUGAGUAGGGCGGGACACGUGGUAUCCUGUCUGAAUAUGGGGGGACCAUCCUCCAAGGCUAAAUACUCCUGACUGACCGAUAGUGAACCAGUACCGUGAGGGAAAGGCGAAAAGAACCCCGGCGAGGGGAGUGAAAAAGAACCUGAAACCGUGUACGUACAAGCAGUGGGAGCCCCACCACCAAAGCAUUCUCUGGUGUUGAAGGCCCUGCAAAGCAGCAUCGCGGUGGCGGAGCGUCGUUUGCGACGCCCAACACACAAAACAAGCGGUGAGUGCUUUGGGGUGGGGUGACUGCGUACCUUUUGUAUAAUGGGUCAGCGACUUAUAUUCUGUAGCAAGGUUAACCGAAUAGGGGAGCCGGAGGGAAACCGAGUCUUAAUUGGGCGUUAAGUUGCA
rnacentral:rRNA from 1 species